ACCUACCUACCUACCUGGUUGAAUUAUACUUUGGGCAUCUGGGAUGCAGAGAGCACCAGUCCUCCCAGCACUCCGCGCUGUCCUGGAAAUGGAAAGUGAGCUGACUGUUAAGCCAAGUCCUGAAGAGAGAGACCUGAGAGCCCUCAGGAGUCUGAGGCCAGCAAAGACAGGAUCCUUUCCUGACAAUCACUGACCCGUCCACGAGGGGCUCGUCUAAUAGAAAGUAACCAAAUUCCCCUAUGAUUCCAGAGCCACUGUGAUG
rnacentral:lncRNA from 1 species